CCUACGGGGGGCAGCAGUGAGGAAUAUUGGUCAAUGGACGGAAGUCUGAACCAGCCAUGCCGCGUGCAGGAAGACGGCCCUAUGAGUUGUAAACAGCUUUUGUACAAGGGUAAACCUGAAUACGUGUAUUCAGCUGAAAGUACUGUACGAAUAAGGAUCGGCUAACUCCGUGCCAGCAGCCGCGGUAAUACGGAGGAGCCAAGCGUUAUCCGGAUUUAUGGGGUUAAACGGGUGCGUAGGCGGGCGUUUAAGUCAGCGGUAAAAAUUCGGGGCGAAACCCCGUCCGGCCGUUGAAACUGGGGGCCUUGAGUGUGCGAGAGGAAGGCAGAAUGCCAGGUGUAGCGGUGAAAUGCAUAGAGAUCACGCAGAACCCCGAUGGCGAAGGCAGCCCUCCGGCGCCAGACUGACGCUGAGGUGCGAAAGUGCGGGGAUCGAACAGGAUUAGAUACCCGGGUAGUC
rnacentral:rRNA from 1 species